CAAUUAAAAGCGGAAAUAUAUCUAGUCUUUACUGAAUGAAAAUGAAAGGUGUGGAAGUAAUUCAACUGGCGAAGAAUCUUCGUUCACGUAGAAGAUGACGCUGAACGGGGUGCCUAAAAAUACGUCACAAGUCACAAUAAUUUAUCGAGAUAUUCAACGGUUUUGUUGUUAAGUUGAAAACAAUAAAACAAUAUUAAUAUUU